UGCGUAGGCGGAUUAAUAAGUCAGUGGUGAAAUCUUUCGGCUCAACCGAGAAACUGCCAUUGAUACUGUUAAUCUUGAGUUCGGUUGAGGUAGGCGGAAUGUGUAAUGUAGCGGUGAAAUGCUUAGAUAUUACACAGAACACCAAUUGCGUAGGCAGCUUACUAGCCCGACACUGACGCUGAGGCACGAAAGCGUGGGGAGCGAACAGGAUUAGAUACCCUGGUAGUCC
rnacentral:rRNA from 1 species